AGCUUUAUUGAAGCAAAUUUGCAUUAAAAAAAGUAACGAGUUUGAUUAAGAAAAGAAAACAAAAGGGCUAAGGUCAUAAGCAAUAAGAUUGAAAUAUGAAAUGGGCAGACCCAACAUGAGAAGCCUAAGUCUAUGCCAUGUGCAGGCUCGUGGCCCAAACUAAUUGAGAAUCAAAAAAUAAGAAGGGGACUCAAGCAUUAAACAUCAAUGAAUUUGUAAACGUAACAUCGAACAACUACAAAAUUAAACCAGCAACUACUAUGCACAGAAACACCGAUUGGAAAUAAUAUGAGAGUUAUUACAAGCCAUUUUCAGGUUUAACCACAUGCGCAUGACAACCAUUCACAAACUAGAAAUUGAAAAUCACUUAAACACUAACUAGAUAGUCAUUACUCA
rnacentral:lncRNA from 1 species